UGAGUAGGCGGUUAUAUAUGUCAGGUGUAAAAGGCUAUGGCUUAACCAUGGUUAGCACUUGAAACUGUAUGACUUGAGUGCAGGAGAGGUAAGUGGAAUUCCUAGUGUAGCGGUGAAAUGCGUAGAUAUUAGGAGGAACACCAGUGGCGAAGGCGACUUACUGGACUGUAACUGACGCUGAGUCACGAAAGCGUGGGUAGCAAACAGGAUUAGAUACCCUGGUAGUCCACGCUGUAAACGAUGAGUGCUAGGUGUUGGCCAGCGAUGGUCAGUGCCGCAGUUAACACAAUAAGCACUCCGCCUGGGGAGUACGUACGCAAGUAUGAA
rnacentral:rRNA from 1 species